AGAGUUUGAUCCUGGCUCAGGAUGAACGCUAGCGGCAGGCUUAAUACAUGCAAGUCGAGGGGCAGCACGGUUAGCAAUAACUGGUGGCGACCGGCGCACGGGUGCGUAACACGUAUACAAUCUACCUUAACAGGGGGAUAGCCUUUCGAAAGAGAGAUUAAUACCCCGUAAUAAAUUGAACGGCAUCGUUUGAUUUUGAAAGCUCCGGCGGUUUGAGAUGAGUAUGCGUCUGAUUAGCUAGUUGGUGAGGUAACGGCUCACCAAGGCGACGAUCAGUAGGGGAUCUGAGAGGACUAACCCCCACACUGGUACUGAGACACGGACCAGACUCCUACGGGAGGCAGCAGUAAGGAAUAUUGGUCAAUGGAGGCAACUCUGAACCAGCCAUGCCGCGUGCAGGAUGACGGCCCUAUGGGUUGUAAACUGCUUUAUACAAGAGAAAACCCUGGUACGUGUACCAGGUUGAUAGUAUUGUAAGAAUAAGCAUCGGCUAACUUCGUG
rnacentral:rRNA from 1 species